GACAACCUUAGCAGCGGCGGUUGUCAUCAUGAGAUUUCUUCUGCAUUGUGUGCAUGUGUGAGCGUGGACACAGUGCGUGUUCACCCUCCUCUCUCCAGACAGGAGGCAAGGACAUCCCCCUCUAACACUGUGCCAACAGAUAGGGCGAGCGAGAGAGAGAGAGAAGCUGAAAGCCCAUAAUGCACUGCAUGCUGCAGGGCUGAAGUCGUGCAGAUUCAUCAGUUCCUGUUCGGAGAGCUUGUGUGUCAGCACAGGUGCUCAUACACCCAGAUCGAGUACAGGAGACACGACCAGGCAGAGAGAAGUGCCUUCGUUGGCUGAUCCCCUGUGGCUGUUUGGCUCCUCUGAAGCAGCCUCUGCCUCCGUGCCUGUCUGUGACCAUCAGAGCUGCCAGCCACACCGAGAGCCCCGGGACUGCCAAACCCCUCAGCUGAUACGUCCCUCGUUCCUCCACCUCCUGCUCUGUCUGCCAGGCAGACGGCUCUCCAUCCAUGCUACUCAGCCCUCCUUUGUAGAAGUCGACCACUCCCCACUCAUCUCCGCAUACAGCCUGACACUGACGACUGUUUUACCAGCAUCUGUGAGCGCAAGGGAUCACUUCUUCCACCACACUCCUUCUCCAGCCCUGCAUCUUUUCAUCAUGGGCCAGUUAAAUCAAUAAUGUGCUUUGCCAUUUGUCUUAUCUGACAGUUCAGCUGAGGGCAGAGAAGAUAGAGAGC